rnacentral:rRNA from 1 species
AAGUCGUAACAAGGUCUCCGUUGGUGAACCAGCGGAGGGAUCAUUACCGAGUUAUACAACUCAUCAACCCUGUGAACAUACCUAAAACGUUGCUUCGGCGGGAACAGACGGCCCUGUAACAACGGGCCGCCCCCGCCAGAGGACCCCUAACUCUGUUUUUAUAAUGUUUUUCUGAGUAAACAAGCAAAUAAAUUAAAACUUUCAACAACGGAUCUCUUGGCUCUGGCAUCGAUGAAGAACGCAGCGAAAUGCGAUAAGUAAUGUGAAUUGCAGAAUUCAGUGAAUCAUCGAAUCUUUGAACGCACAUUGCGCCCGCCAGUAUUCUGGCGGGCAUGCCUGUUCGAGCGUCAUUACAACCCUCAGGCCCCCGGGCCUGGCGUUGGGGAUCGGCAGAAGCCCCCUGUGGGCACACGCCGUCCCUCAAAUACAGUGGCGGUCCCGCCGCAGCUUCCAUUGCGUAGUAGCUAACACCUCGCAACUGGAGAGCGGCGCGGCCAUGCCGUAAAACACCCAACUUCUGAAUGUUGACCUCGAAUCAGGUAGGAAU